CAGCCGCCGCGGUAAUACGAAGGGUGCAAGCGUUAAUCGGAAUUACUGGGCGUAAAGCGUGCGUAGGCGGUUUGUUAAGUCUGUUGUGAAAUCCCCGGGCUCAACCUGGGAAUGGCAAUGGAUACUGGCAAGCUAGAGUGUGUCAGAGGAUGGUGGAAUUCCCGGUGUAGCGGUGAAAUGCGUAGAGAUCGGGAGGAACAUCAGUGGCGAAGGCGGCCAUCUGGGACAACACUGACGCUGAGGCACGAAAGCGUGGGGAGCAAACAGGAUUAGAUACCCCAGUAGUCCCUGUCUCUUAUAA
rnacentral:rRNA from 1 species